GGAACGCAGAUGGCCUGUCUAGACAAACCAAACUUCUGCCAUAACCAAUGUCCGGACAGCCCCACGUUGACCUGAAAAGGAUCAAUCCGGGUCUGCCGGGGUGUCCCACAAAAGGGGAACCAUGUAACAGAGGACAGCUUAACCGGCAUAUGGAGACUGUGGAUUACUAUUCAGUUUGGGACAUUGGAAGCAUUCACCAUACGAAUGCUUGCUACCAAAUAACAGGCCACCUUGAUUCCUAAUUAUGACCAAUUUACCUCCCUGCUCUAUGGGGAUUUUCGUAGAAAGAAACACACGAACGCUAUACGAACUGUAUGGGUAGCCGCCAUUUCGGGACUUCCACGUGUUCGCGGCCAUUUUAACUCCCGAACAGCGGUGUUUUGCCGUCGAGUGUCUGGAACUAAAAUUGGACACUCGAAUAGGCAAACACCGCUGAGACCUCCAUAACUUCGGGAAAUCGUGCUACAACUACCGAAUGACAGGGCGUUCGGGAGAAAGACUUAACAGCUUAUGGGGAUUCCAGUGAACAUAAGAUUAUAUACGGAUGGCCAGCCGUUCGGGAAUUUUUACACACGAACUAAGACCGACUGCAGGGCCAGAAUUCAUGGAACUGUUUUCGGCUAUUUUGCCCGUGAGGUCGGUCAAAACCUUCAAGCCCCAUAUCUCCCGAACGGCUGAACCGAAUGGGCUGAAUUUUGGAUAUAUUGGCCCCCCAGAACAAAGCUAUCUAGGGACACCAGAUGUAUGCCUGUACCCCAAGUAUUUGGGGUACAUCCAAACUUUGGGGAAAAAUAUGUUAAUUUUAAUUAUGUUAUGUGGUUAUCUAAGGGGAGGAGAUGUAUGGAAUGUAUAUUGUGUUUAUUGGCUGUACUGAUAAUUAUGUG